GCUGGGUGUGGUGCCGCAAGCCUGUAAUCCCAGUGACUUGGGAGGCUGAGGCAGGAGAAUCACAAGUGCAAAGCCAGCCUCAGCAACUUAGCAAGGCGCUAAGCAACUUAGUGAGACUCUGUCUCUA
rnacentral:sRNA from 1 species